rnacentral:snRNA from 1 species
CUUGCAGCCAGAUGCAAGCAGCAAUAAAGAUACACAGAAGAUUAGCAUGGCCCCUGCGCAAGGAUGACGUGCAAAUUCCUGAAGCAUUCCAUAUUAAA